UACGGGGGGCGCAAGCGUUGUUCGGAUUUACUGGGCGUAAAGGGCGCGUAGGCGGCCAGCGCAAGUCAGUUGUGAAAUCUCCGGGCUUAACUCGGAACGGUCAACUGAUACUGCGCGGCUAGAGUGCAGAAGGGGCAACUGGAAUUCUCGGUGUAGCGGUGAAAUGCGUAGAUAUCGAGAGGAACACCUGCGGCGAAGGCGGGUUGCUGGGCUGACACUGACGCUGAUGCGCGAAAGCCAGGGGAGCGAACGGG
rnacentral:rRNA from 1 species